CAUGUUUCGAGGAGGCCCACGUCUCUUUGUGCUGUUUUUGCCCCUGGUAACUUCCUUCUGGGUCCAGUUGGAACAUCUUCGUCCCUCAGGGUUUAAAUGCUAUCUUCCUGAAGCACUCCAGAGGAGGGAUAUUGUGCCCUGUCUGGCAGCUUUGAUAUCUGAGCGUGAAAAAUUAACUGCUGCUUUCACCCCUCUUUUUAAAUAGGGUUCAGGCUCAGGUCCUUUCCAUUUCCCAUCCCUGUGUGGAGAGGGUAAAUCUGCUGCGAGUUUAAGUACACAUUCAAAUCCAGAUGAAUUUAGUGCGAAAGAUAGCGGAACAGGAGACAGUGAAUCGAAUGACAGCAGUUCUGACAUCAGUAUAGAGCGGGCUUCAAGAAAGCGUCUUUUCCAGUGAUUGCAAAGCGAGAGGGUUCACAUGGUUUUGGAAUGAUCGCUUCUACCUUAAUUAUGAUUCCUCAAGCAGUUUUCCUGACUUUUAUGACGGCAUUCUCAGUGACAGACAGUAAUUGGAAACAUGAAUCAAAUACUUACUGCAUACAAAGCUCUUUGGGCCUCCAGACAGGAGACGCUCCCUGAAAGUUUGUGAAAGAACAAAUGUGCCGAGUCACUUGCACACUGAGUGGGGGUCCCGGCUGCCGUCCCAUCCUGCCGCGCAUCUUUAACGAAGAUACCGUGUGUCUCUGUUUCAGCUUCUUUCUUAUCUGUUCAGAAGAAAUGGGUGUGAAAGUAAUACGGCCCCACCUUGUUAGGAAGUAGCAAACUAGAGACUUCUGCUGAUGUCCAUUUUCAUGUCUGCCCCACGUUGAGAUGUCGCUGUGACCGGGGGCCAGCCGGCCUGCUUUAGCCCACGUCGGCACAGAUAAUCAAAUGUGUAGUCUCUCUCUGACAGUGCUGAUCAUAGACACCAUUAAAAAAGAAAUGGUCAUAAUGUAGGUGACUAAGAGAGAGGCCAGCCUUCUGAGUGGCAAGUUAGUAGCUCGGGGCAAACUACAGAGUGGCAGAGACCUUGCCUGGGGGGCAUGGCCCAGGCCUUCCAACGGCUGUGGGUGGAGGGGCUGUUGGGAGACAGAGGGCUGAGGUAGACAAUCAUCUACAUUUUAUUAAAAAUAAUUGGAGAAGUUUACAGACUUUUUUUUUUUUUUUUUUUUUUUUGCAAACAUGCAACUGUCAGGCAUGGGUAGAAAAGGAACGUUUUCCAAAUUGUGAGAAAUUCGAAUGUCGUGGCAAAAAAAAAAAUCAGGAGUCUGGUGAUUAAA